UAAAACUUGUCUUCUUUUCAAGUCAACUGAAGGCUUUUGAAGUCUCCGCAUGGAGGAUAGAUCGCUCAUGGAGAUGGAGGGGUUCACUCUCGCCCUUAAUUAUACGUCGACGCUUCAACCGCUCUCGAAUCGGAAACAGAGGUUCGCCGAUCACAUUCAAGCUUCGCUCUCGGAUCGGAGUUUGGUGGAGUUAGAGAAGCUGCUUUCCCCAGUUUUCUCAAAAGGGUCAGAUGUAGAGUAAUGAAGCAAUCUUGAAAAGGGCAAAUGUAUGCCCACAGAUGAAUGUAUGCAAAUUCAAAAGGGCCACGCUAAUUCUCCUUUGUUAAUGAUAAUUUUUCAUGACUGACGACCAAAGAUCUUCUCUCCGAUGCGGCUCAAAAGUCUUAGGGAAGUUUCAGUCCUGCUUGUAGAUAUAAUGAGGGAUAAAGUCUUGUUGUGUUUGUACAAAUUGGAAAGUGGAUAUGUUGUUUUUUGUUACAAGGACUUAUUUUGUCUAUAAAAGGCAAUCAAAUGAUAUAUCAAUCUGCUCUGCUGCCAAACUAGAUCCCAGUGAAUUUAAUGAGGUAAGUCUAAUAUCUGGAGGCAAUUGGUUUGAAGAACCGACGUACAUUACAUUGGCAUGCAAAAAUGUAUUGGAAUUUCUUUUUGGUUACCAUUUUUAUAGCUCCUUUUGCUGUUUGCGUUC